rnacentral:rRNA from 1 species
CCUGAGAAACGGCUACCACAUCCAAGGAAGGCAGCAGGCACGCAAAUUACCCACUCCCGGCACGGGGAGGUAGUGACAAAAAAUAACGAUACGGGACUCAUCCGAGGCCCCGUAAUCGGAAUGAGAACACUCUAAAUCAUUUAACAAGGACCUAUUGGAGGGCAAGUCUGGUGCCAGCAGCCGCGGUAAUUCCAGCUCCAAUAGCGUAUAUUAAAGUUGUUGCGGUUAAAAAGCUCGUAGUUGGUUCUGCGUCCCACGCUGUCGGUUCACCGCCUGUCGGUGCAACUGGCACGCCGUGGGAUGUCCUGUCGGUGGCGGCCGCGGCCCGGCGGUCGAGGGGUAAGAUCCGAAUGGGUCCGAACCCUCACCCCGGGAUCCGGUCGCCUAACUAAUCCCGCCGCGGUGCUCUUAACUGAGUGUCGAGGUGGGCCGACACGUUUACUUUGAACAAAUUAGAGUGCUCAAAGCAGGCUGAAUUCCGCCUGAAUAGUGGUGCAUGGAAUAAUUGAAUAGGACCUCGGUUCUAUUUUGUUGGUUUUCGGAAUCCGAGGUAAUGAUCAAUAUGGACAGGCGGGGGCAUUCGUAUUGCGGCGUUAGCUUGGCAAAUGCUUUCGCNNNGAAAUUCUUGGAUCGUCGCAAGACGGACUAGAGCGAAAGCAUUUGCCAAGUAUGUCUUAGUUGAUCAAGAACGAAAGUUAGAGGUUCGAAGGCGAUCAGAUACCGCCCUAGUUCUAACCAUAAACGAUGCCAGCCAGCGAUCCGCCGAUGUUCCUCCGAUGACUCGGCGGGCAGCUUCCGGGAAACCAAAGCUUUUGGGUUCCGGGGGAANUAUGGUUGCAAAGCUG